rnacentral:rRNA from 1 species
AAAUUGAAGAGUUUGAUCAUGGCUCAGAUUGAACGCUGGCGGCAGGCCUAACACAUGCAAGUCGAGCGGUAGCACAGAAGAGCUUGCUCUUCGGGUGACGAGCGGCGGACGGGUGAGUAAUGUCUGGGAAACUGCCUGAUGGAGGGGGAUAACUACUGGAAACGGUAGCUAAUACCGCAUAACGUCUUCGGACCAAAGAGGGGGACCUUCGGGCCUCUUGCCAUCGGAUGUGCCCAGAUGGGAUUAGCUAGUAGGUGAGGUAAUGGCUCACCUAGGCGACGAUCCCUAGCUGGUCUGAGAGGAUGACCAGCCACACUGGAACUGAGACACGGUCCAGACUCCUACGGGAGGCAGCAGUGGGGAAUAUUGCACAAUGGGCGCAAGCCUGAUGCAGCCAUGCCGCGUGUGUGAAGAAGGCCUUCGGGUUGUAAAGCACUUUCAGCGGGGAGGAAGGCGAUAAGGUUAAUAACCUUGUCGAUUGACGUUACCCGCAGAAGAAGCACCGGCUAACUCCGUGCCAGCAGCCGCGGUAAUACGGAGGGUGCAAGCGUUAAUCGGAAUGACUGGGCGUAAAGCGCACGCAGGCGGUCUGUUAAGUUGGAUGUGAAAUCCCCGGGCUUAACCUGGGAACUGCAUUCAAAACUGACAGGCUAGAGUCUUGUAGAGGGGGGUAGAAUUCCAGGUGUAGCGGUGAAAUGCGUAGAGAUCUGGAGGAAUACCGGUGGCGAAGGCGGCCCCCUGGACAAAGACUGACGCUCAGGUGCGAAAGCGUGGGGAGCAAACAGGAUUAGAUACCCUGGUAGUCCACGCUGUAAACGAUGUCGACUUGGAGGUUGUGCCCUUGAGGCGUGGCUUCCGGAGCUAACGCGUUAAGUCGACCGCCUGGGGAGUACGGCCGCAAGGUUAAAACUCAAAUGAAUUGACGGGGGCCCGCACAAGCGGUGGAGCAUGUGGUUUAAUUCGAUGCAACGCGAAGAACCUUUCCUACUCUUGACAUCCACAGAAUUUGGUAGAGAUACCUUAGUGCCUUCGGGAACUGUGAGACAGGUGCUGCAUGGCUGUCGUCAGCUCGUGUUGUGAAAUGUUGGGUUAAGUCCCGCAACGAGCGCAACCCUUAUCCUUUGUUGCCAGCGAGUAAUGUCGGGAACUCAAAGGAGACUGCCGGUGAUAAACCGGAGGAAGGUGGGGAUGACGUCAAGUCAUCAUGGCCCUUACGAGUAGGGCUACACACGUGCUACAAUGGCGUAUACAAAGAGAAGCGAACUCGCGAGAGCAAGCGGACCUCAUAAAGUACGUCGUAGUCCGGAUUGGAGUCUGCAACUCGACUCCAUGAAGUCGGAAUCGCUAGUAAUCGUAGAUCAGAAUGCUACGGUGAAUACGUUCCCGGGCCUUGUACACACCGCCCGUCACACCAUGGGAGUGGGUUGCAAAAGAAGUAGGUAGCUUAACCUUCGGGAGGGCGCUUACCACUUUGUGAUUCAUGACUGGGGUGAAGUCGUAACAAGGUAACCGUAGGGGAACCUGCGGUUGGAUCACCUCCUUACCAAAAAGA